rnacentral:tRNA from 1 species
GCCAGCAUGGUGUAGUGGUUUGAGCAUUGGACUGAGACUCUGUAGACCAGGGUUCGAAUCCUGAUUCGGUCA